ACGGGUGCGUAACGCGUGGGAAUCUGCCCUUGGGUUCGGAAUAACAGUUAGAAAUGACUGCUAAUACCGGAUGAUGUCUUCGGACCAAAGAUUUAUCGCCCAAGGAUGAGCCCGCGUAAGAUUAGCUAGUUGGUGGGGUAAUGGCCCACCAAGGCGACGAUCUUUAGCUGGUCUGAGAGGAUGAUCAGCCACACUGGGACUGAGACACGGCCCAGACUCCUACGGGAGGCAGCAGUGGGGAAUAUUGGACAAUGGGCGAAAGCCUGAUCCAGCAAUGCCGCGUGAGUGAUGAAGGCCUUAGGGUUGUAAAGCUCUUUUACCAGGGAUGAUAAUGACGGUACCUGGAGAAUAAGCUCCGGCUAACUCCGUGCCAGCAGCCGCGGUAAUACGGAGGGAGCUAGCGUUGUUCGGAAUUACUGGGCGUAAAGCGUACGUAGGCGGUUAUUCAAGUCAGAGGUGAAAGCCCGGGGCUCAACCCCGGAACGGCCUUUGAAACUAGAUAGCUAGAGUCUUGGAGAGGUUAGUGGAAUUCCGAGUGUAGAGGUGAAAUUCGUAGA
rnacentral:rRNA from 1 species